AAUCAUCGUGGAUCGAUUGGUUCCCGCAACGCGAACGCGUUUCGGGAGUAAACGGGAACGUGACGGAUGGACCCAUGCUGGGCAUUCAAAUCACGGCCGACCCCGCGACUGUAGAGCGACGUGAAUGCGCCGUUCCGGAGCGAUCCGGAAGAAGCCACUGGAGACAAGACCGCGAGAGGGCGGCCCUUGCUCUGGGAAGGCGAGGCAAAUCCAGGGUGAUCUCACCCGACGUCCUGAGCCAGGAAACCUGCCAGUCGAUGCGGGCAUAG
rnacentral:ncRNA from 2 species